CCGGCAACCUGCUCGUGCUUCUCACCCAAUUCCUGUGGGUGCUGGUGUGAGGCGCAGAGCCUGGGGAAACUGUCUUUAGCCAUGGAGCUGCCCUGUCUGGAGAUUGCGUGGGGGUCACGACUAGAGCCAGGGGCGGCUGACACCCAGUGACUGACUGUACGGAAGACACGAAUCUGAGGAGCCGCCUGAAUGAUGCAGGCUUGUCACGAGGGAGAACGAGUUCUUGAGAUCCACUGCAGGGAGGCGACAGGAUUGCUCUCUCAGGAAAGCCCCAGCCCACCUCACUCCCUUUCACGGGGUCCC